CCAGGAGCAAAGUGGCUUACAGGGAUCUGUAACUUCUUCCACCACUGGUCUGUGGUCUGGGAGCAGAAGCUGAAAAAACAGGCAGCGCAGGUUAUUCAGUGUUAGCAAUUGAUACAGUGUACUUCCCAGUUCUUCCUGUUUAUUUUACAGACUGAAAGUUAACUCAUUCAACACAGGGGGCAAAAGUUUCACUCAAAUCUUAAUAGUUCUUUCCAGCUCUGCAUUUCACUAUAUCAUGCAAAGGUUAUGUCCUCCCUUCCCCCUUCUACUCAGUAGAAACAUAUCAUGGUCACUCCUUCUAAGACUCCACUUCUAGGCCGGGCUCCGUAGCUCAUGCCUGUAAUCCCAGCACUUUGGGAGUCAGAGGCGGGCAUAUCACCUGAGGUCAGGAGUUUGAGACUAGACUGGCCAAUAUGGUGAAACCUCGUCUUAGUACAAAAAUUAGCUGGGUGUAGUGGCACGUGCCUGUAAUCCCAGAUACUUGGAAGGUUGAGACAGGAAAAUCGCUUGAACCCGGGAGGCAGAGGCUGCAGUGAGCCAAGAUCACUACUGCACUCCAGCCUGGGCAACAGAGCAAGACUGUCUCCAAAAAAAAAAAAAAAAAAAAGAAUCCACUUUUAGGGCGGGCGUGGUGGCUCACACCUGUAAUCCCAGCACUUUGGGAAGCUGAGGCAGGCAGAUCUCCUGAGGGUAGGAGUUCGAGACCAGCCUGGCCAACAUGGUGAAAACUCAUUUCUACUAAAAACACAAAAAUUAGUUGGCUGUGGUGGCUCAAGCUUGUAAUCCCACCUACUUACGAGGCUGAGGGACAAGAAUUGCUUGAACCCGGAAAGGAUCCUGGGAGGCAGAGGCUGCAGUGAGCCGAGAUUGUGCCACUGCACUGCAGCCUGGGUGACAGAGUAUUCCGUCUCAAAAAAUAAAAAAACUCCGCUUUUAUAAACUCCAAGCAGUAUGAAUCCCAUUCUCUUCCUUGCUGAAUACAUUUAAUUCUAAAUAUUUGCUGAAUAUAUUUAAUAAAUGUUUGAUCCUUCCAUUGCUUACUCCUUUAAAAACAAGUCCUAAUAAUUAACUUUUUUAAACUUUAUACAGGAAAAUUCAGACAAUAUGAUUCUUUUCUCAUUAAAGGGAAAUGGAGUAAGUAGAAAUUAAAUAUGCACACUAGGAGAAUAACUUCCAACUAAUCUUUAAACACUGGUAUACCUCAUCUGAAUACACUCAUAAGACGACAUUUCAGUCCCAGAAUGGCAUCACAUUUGCUUGUGUUAUCAAGCUUCCUGUUAAACAUAGGUAGAAAAUAAGCUGUAGGCUGGGUGCGGUGGCUCACACCUGUAAUCCCAGCACUUUGGGAGGCCGAGGCAGGCAGAUCACCUGAAGUCAGGAGUUUGAGACCAGCCUGACCAACAUGGAGAAACCCCGUCUCUACUAAAAAUGCAAAAUUAACUGGGCAUGGUGGUGGGCACCUGUAAUCCCAGCCACUUGGGAGGCUGAGGCAGGAGAAUUGCUUGAACCCGGGAGGCGGAGGUUGGGGUGAGCCGAGAUCGCACCAUUGCACUCCAACCUGGGCAACAAGAGUGAAACUCCAUCUCAAAAAAAGAAAAAAAAGAAAAAAAAAAAAAGAAAAAGAAAAAAGAAAAUAAACUGUGGUGAGAAGGGAAAUAAAAGAUAUUAGAAGUCUACAAUUUCUAAGUAAAUCUUUAAAUCCCUAUUAAUGGUCCACCAUAGUCCACAAUUCUUGUUGUAAAUGCUGUGUUUACUGAAGUAUCAUUUAAAAAAAAAAAAAAGAAGCUAGUUCCAAAUUGAUCUAUCCAAAAAGAACCCUCUCUAAAGGGAAGUUUUACAUGCUUAACUGCUUUUUCACAGUGGCAAAAUAAUAAUAAUAAUAAUAAUUCUGAUGAAAACUGAAAGCACUACUGAUCAGAAAUGAAUUAUUUUCUGCUUUAAUAUUGCCAAUAUGGUAUUCAUUUUCUGUGCUGCCAAGUGAGCUAUUUUUUCUCUUAUCUCCUUAUAGUAAAAAUAAAUCAACAAAAAUUAUUCUGGGCCCGUAUACUUUGUGUGAAUUACAAAGCUAUUUACAGUAAAAUAUUAAUAAUGAUAUACAUACCUAGUCUAAUAAAAACUCACUGCUGAGCAAUGAGGCCUGCUGGGCCCGUAUACUUUGUGUGAAUUACAAAGCUAUUUACAGUAAAAUAUUAAUAAUGAUAUACAUACCUAGUCUAAUAAAAACUCACUGCUGAGCAAUGAGGCCUGUUUCCUCAGACACAGUAUUUUACGAUUGGCUUAAACAGUUGGCCCUUCAACAACAUGGCUUUGAAUUACCUGGGUCUACUUAUAAGCAAAUUGUUUUGAACCAAAAAAACAUCUUGGAAUGGAAAAUCCAUGUACACAGUGGGCCAACUUUUCGUUUACACAGAUGUGGGACUUCAGUAUUGCGCAGGGUUGGGUAUAUACAAGGGUCCUGGAACCAAUCCUCCGUGUAUACUGAGGGAUGACUGUAAUUAAAAUUGUGGUGAAGAGUUUAUGCCUGUUUUUAAAAAAUGCAUAUCUGAUUAGGAACACUGGACUUUUCUAACAGGUCUACCUAACCCAAAUAGCAAAGUAAUAAAGUAUAACCAUCACUGGUAGAAUAGAUUUACUUACCAUGCUAAAAAUGCUAAAGCAUGGCUAUUACCAAUUCUUAGGUAUUUGAAAACCACACACCAUUCCACUAUUUUCUGUGGGUGUUAAUUCACCAAAGCAGUUUAUUAUCAAUUAAGAAUUAGAAGAUCUGAGCUCAAAAAAUAACUCUGCCACAUGCAAGUCUUGAAAACACUAGGACUCACUUUACUAAGGUGUAAAAAGGAGGGGUUAAACUGGAUUAGUCUCUAAAGGCUCAUCUAACCCAAUAUUCUGCAUUGCAAAGUAUACUGGAUUCUUUUUUUUUGUUUUUUUAAGACAGAGUGUCACUCUGUCACCCAGGCUGGAGUGCAAUGGCGUGGUCUCGGCUCACUGCAAUCUCUGCUUCCUGGAUUCAAGCAAUUCUCCCGCCUCAGCCUCCCAAGUAGCUGGGACCACAGGCACAUGUCACCACACCAGCUAAUGUCUGUAUUUUUAGUAAAGAUAGAGUCUCCCUAUGUUAGCCAGGCUGGUCUUGCUCCUGGCCUCAUGAUCCGCCCGCCUUGGCCUCCCCAAGUUCUGGGAUUACAGGCAUGAGCCACCGUGCCCAGCCUGGAUUCUUCUUUUUAGAUUCAUUUGUUGGAGCUACAAAUGAAAUCAUCAAAAGAGAGAGGGAUGCUAAUAGAACAAUCUAAAAACCACAACUCAAUC
rnacentral:lncRNA from 10 species